rnacentral:rRNA from 1 species
UACGUAGGGUGCAAGCGUUAUCCGGAAUUAUUGGGCGUAAAGAGCUCGUAGGCGGUUUGUCACGUCUGCUGUGAAAACUGGAGGCUCAACCUCCAGCCUGCAGCCGAUACGGGCAGGCUAGAGUUCGGUAGGGGAGACUGGAAUUCCUGGUGUAGCGGUGAAAUGCGCAGAUAUCAGGAGGAACACCGGUGGCGAAGGCGGGUCUCUGGGCCGAUACUGACGCUGAGGAGCGAAAGCGUGGGGAGCGAACAGG